rnacentral:rRNA from 1 species
AUUGAACGCUGGCGGCAGGCCUAACACAUGCAAGUCGAGCGCACCUAGCUUGCUAGGUGAGCGGCGAAAGGGUGAGUAACACGUAGGAAUCUGCCCGAUAGUGGGGGACAACGUCUCGAAAGGGACGCUAAUACCGCAUACGCCCUACGGGGGAAAGCAGGGGAUCUUCGGACCUUGCGCCAUCGGAUGAGCCUGCGUCGGAUUAGCCAGUUGGUGGGGUAAAGGCCGACCAAGGCGACGAUCCGUAGCUGGUCUGAGAGGAUGAUCAGCAUCACCGGAACUGAGACACGGUCCGGACUCCUACGGGAGGCAGCAGUGGGGAAUAUUGGACAAUGGGAGCAACCCUGAUCCAGCCAUGCCGCGUGUGUGAAGAAGGCCUUCGGGUUGUAAAGCACUUUAAGCUGGGAGGAAGGUUCGCUGGCUAAUAUCCAGCGGAAUUGACGUUACCAGCAGAAUAAGCACCGGCUAACUCCGUGCCAGCCGCCGCCGUAA